GAUGAACGCUGGCGGCGUGCCUAAUACAUGCAAGUCGAACGAGUUUUGGUCGAUGAACGGUGCUUGCAYUGUGAUUCAACUUAAAACGAGUGGCGGACGGGUGAGUAACACGUGGGUAACCUGCCCUUAAGUGGGGGAUAACAUUUGGAAACAGAUGCUAAUACCGCAUAAAUCCAAGAACCGCAUGGUUCUUGGCUGAAAGAUGGCGYAAGCUAUCGCUUUUGGAUGGACCCGCGGCGUAUUAGCUAGUUGGUGAGGUAACRGCUCACCAAGGCGAUGAUACGUAGCCGAACUGAGAGGUUGAUCGGCCACAUUGGGACUGAGACACGGCCCAAACUCCUACGGGAGGCAGCAGUAGGGAAUCUUCCACAAUGGACGCAAGUCUGAUGGAGCAACGCCGCGUGAGUGAAGAAGGCUUUCGGGUCGUAAAACUCUGUUGUUGGAGAAGAAUGGUCGGCAGAGUAACUGUUGUCGGCGUGACGGUAUCCAACCAGAAAGCCACGGCUAACUACGUGCCAGCAGCCGCGGUAAUACGUAGGUGGCAAGCGUUAUCCGGAUUUAUUGGGCGUAAAGCGAGCGCAGGCGGUUUUUUAAGUCUGAUGUGAAAGCCCUCGGCUUAACCGAGGAAGCGCAUCGGAAACUGGGAAACUUGAGUGCAGAAGAGGACAGUGGAACUCCAUGUGUAGCGGUGAAAUGCGUAGAUAUAUGGAAGAACACCAGUGGCGAAGGCGGCUGUCUGGUCUGUAACUGACGCUGAGGCUCGAAAGCAUGGGUAGCGAACAGGAUUAGAUACCCUGGUAGUCCAUGCCGUAAACGAUGAAUGCUAGGUGUUGGAGGGUUUCCGCCCUUCAGUGCCGCAGCUAACGCAUUAAGCAUUCCGCCUGGGGAGUACGACCGCAAGGUUGAAACUCAAAGGAAUUGACGGGGGCCCGCACAAGCGGUGGAGCAUGUGGUUUAAUUCGAAGCAACGCGAAGAACCUUACCAGGUCUUGACAUCUUUUGAUCACCUGAGAGAUCAGGUUUCCCCUUCGGGGGCAAAAUGACAGGUGGUGCAUGGUUGUCGUCAGCUCGUGUCGUGAGAUGUUGGGUUAAGUCCCGCAACGAGCGCAACCCUUAUGACUAGUUGCCAGCAUUCAGUUGGGCACUCUAGUAAGACUGCCGGUGACAAACCGGAGGAAGGUGGGGAUGACGUCAAAUCAUCAUGCCCCUUAUGACCUGGGCUACACACGUGCUACAAUGGAUGGUACAACGAGUUGCGAGACCGCGAGGUCAAGCUAAUCUCUUAAAGCCAUUCUCAGUUCGGACUGUAGGCUGCAACUCGCCUACACGAAGUCGGAAUCGCUAGUAAUCGCGGAUCAGCACGCCGCGGUGAAUACGUUCCCGGGCCUUGUACACACCGCCCGUCACACCAUGAGAGUUUGUAACACCCGAAGCCGGUGGCGUAACCCUUUUAGGGAGCGAGCCGUCUAAGGUGGGACAAAUGAUUAGGGUGAAGUCGUAACAAGGUAGCCGUAGGAGAACC
rnacentral:rRNA from 1 species